rnacentral:rRNA from 1 species
UUGAACGCUGGCGGCAGGCCUAACCCCUGCAAGUCGAGCGGUAGAGAGAAGCUUGCUUCUCUUGAGAGCGGCGGACGGGUGAGUAAUGCCUAGGAAUCUGCCUGGUAGUGGGGGAUAACGUUCGGAAACGGACGCUAAUACCGCAUACGUCCUACGGGAGAAAGCAGGGGACCUUCGGGCCUUGCGCUAUCAGAUGAGCCUAGGUCGGAUUAGCUAGUUGGUGGGGUAAUGGCUCACCAAGGCGACGAUCCGUAACUGGUCUGAGAGGAUGAUCAGUCACACUGGAACUGAGACACGGUCCAGACUCCUACGGGAGGCAGCAGUGGGGAAUAUUGGACAAUGGGCGAAAGCCUGAUCCAGCCAUGCCGCGUGUGUGAAGAAGGUCUUCGGAUUGUAAAGCACUUUAAGUUGGGAGGAAGGGCAGUAAAUUAAUACUUUGCUGUUUUGACGUUACCGACAGAAUAAGCACCGGCUAACUCUGUG